GGCCUGCUGGCCCAAUGGCAAGGCGCUUGACUACGAAAUCGAUUACGUUCGAUUGUGUUAUCAAGAGAUUGCAGGUUCGAUCCCUGCGUAGGUCA
rnacentral:tRNA from 1 species